UAAAAAUCGAUCUCUUUCAUCUCUUUCAAGAAAAUACUGAAAGGAGUUCAACUUUCAUAUACUUAAGGUAAGGAGAGAGUAGAGCAAAUUAUAGUCCCAAAGCUUCUGUUCUCCUCCUCUGUAAUAACCAUUGAAAAAGGGAACAGCUGGAAUUUUUAAGGGACAUCUUUUUUCCCAGUGUUGAAUUUUGUAAAAUGAAGCAAUUAAGUGAGUUGGUUAAUUCUAACUCCUUAAAAAUUUGUGAUUAGUUAUCCAUUUUCUAAUAUGCAAAAUAUCUAAUACUUUGUCUAUCUAUACACAGAAGUAAAGAGCUACAAAUCCUGUUCUUCACCUAAGAAAAGGGCUAUUUGUCAACAACAAACUUGACUUUUUUCUUUGGAGGAGUUUUGAAAUAUCAGUAACUUUUGUGCUCCUGCAAGACUACUAAGUUUGUGGAUCUGGGACAGAUCGUGAGUUUGCAGUGGACUCCCCAGAUACUGCACCUGACUGGUCCUGAUUACCUGACUAGUACUGUCUGCUGGCUACUCCUGGGAAUAUCUCAAGCUUCUGCCUGACCAGUAUGUACGUUCUCAGUCUGGCUCCAAGCAUAGCGUUCAUUCUGAGAAUCAUCAUGCUUUGAAAACAUGUGAUCGCCAGGUGUACUCCCAGGUAUCCAGGAUUGUUUUUCUCUUGCUCAUCAGGAACAUGGUAAGACUUUCCAUUUGGUCAGAUCUUAGAAUACUUAUUUUAGUUAACAUUUCAUCACCGAAAAAUAUUGUUCUCAAUAUAUUUAUUACUAAAUAUCUUUUGGGUUUUGUCACUAUCAAAAAGAGAUUUUCCUCCUAUUUUUUUUUUUAUUGGUAGUGAUUGCUUGAAUAGAGAAAGCUAUUGGGUGUUGUAUAUUUAUGUCAGGUUUUUCUACCUUAGCAAAGUCUUUUAUUUAUUUUGUUUUUGAAAAUUUUUUAUCUUAGAUUUUUUAUCCUUUAAUUAGGAUCAUUUCAUCUUUUCCAGUGCU
rnacentral:lncRNA from 1 species